rnacentral:rRNA from 1 species
UACGGAGGGUGCAAGCGUUAUCCGGAUUCACUGGGUUUAAAGGGUGCGUAGGUGGGUUGGUAAGUCAGUGGUGAAAUCUCCGAGCUUAACUUGGAAACUGCCAUUGAUACUAUCAGUCUUGAAUAUUGUGGAGGUCAGCGGAAUAUGUCAUGUAGCGGUGAAAUGCUUAGAUAUGACAUAGAACACCGAUAGCGAAGGCAGCUUGCUACACAAUCAUUGACACUGAGGCACGAAAGCGUGGGGAUCAAACAGG